GACGAACGCUGGCGGCAGGCCUAACACAUGCAAGUCGAGCGCCCCGCAAGGGGAGCGGCGGACGGGUGAGUAACGCGUGGGAACGUACCCUUUGCUACGGAAUAGCCUCGGGAAACUGGGAGUAAUACCGUAUGUGUCCUUCGGGAGAAAGAUUUAUCGGCAAGGGAUCGGCCCGCGUUGGAUUAGGUAGUUGGUGGGGUAAUGGCCUACCAAGCCGACGAUCCAUAGCUGGUUUGAGAGGAUGAUCAGCCACACUGGGACUGAGACACGGCCCAGACUCCUACGGGAGGCAGCAGUGGGGAAUCUUAGACAAUGGGCGCAAGCCUGAUCUAGCCAUGCCGCGUGAGCGAUGAAGGCCUUAGGGUUGUAAAGCUCUUUCAGGGGGGAAGAUAAUGACUGUACCCCCAGAAGAAGCCCCGGCUAACUCCGUG
rnacentral:rRNA from 1 species